rnacentral:rRNA from 1 species
AAUAGAUACCCAGGUAGUCCACGCCGUAAACGAUGAGUGCUAAGUGUUAGAGGGUUUCCGCCCUUUAGUGCUGCAGCUAACGCAUUAAGCACUCCGCCUGGGGAGUACGGCCGCAAGGCUGAAACUCAAAGGAAUUGACGGGGGCCCGCACAAGCGGUGGAGCAUGUGGUUUAAUUCGAAGCAACGCGAAGAACCUUACCAGGUCUUGACAUCCUCUGCUAACCCUAGAGAUAGGGCGUUCCCCUUCGGGGGACAGAGUGACAGGUGGUGCAUGGUUGUCGUCAGCUCGUGUCGUGAGAUGUUGGGUUAAGUCCCGCAACGAGCGCAACCCUUGACCUUAGUUGCCAGCAUUCAGUUGGGCACUCUAAGGUGACUGCCGGUGACAAACCGGAGGAAGGUGGGGAUGACGUCAAAUCAUCAUGCCCCUUAUGACCUGGGCUACACACGUGCUACAAUGGAUGGUACAAAGGGCUGCGAGACCGCGAGGUUAGGCCAAUCCCAUAAAAUCAUUCUCAGUUCGGAUUGCAGG